GUCUGGUUCAAAGGUAAUGAGUUAUCUCAAUUGACUGUUCAUAGUCAGUUUCAGAUAGAACUCCGUGUUUGCCUCUUUCUUCCCCUCUUACUACUGCACUUGACUAGUCUUAA
rnacentral:Y_RNA from 1 species